rnacentral:rRNA from 1 species
AUGAACGCUAGCGGCAGGCCUAACACAUGCAAGUCGAGGGGCAGCACAGGUAGCAAUACUGGGUGGCGACCGGCGGAUGGGUGCGUAACGCGUAUGCAACCUACCAUUGAUUGGGGGCAUAGCCCGAAGAAAUUCGGAUUAAUACUCCAUAAUAUUCAUCAAAGGCAUCUUUUAUGAAUUAAAGCUUUUGCGAUCAAUGAUGGGCAUGCGUGACAUUAGUUAGUUGGUGAGGUAACGGCUCACCAAAACGAUGAUGUCUAGGGGUUCUGAGAGGAUUAUCCCCCACACUGGUACUGAGACACGGACCAGACUCCUACGGGAGGCAGCAGUGAGGAAUAUUGGUCAAUGGACGCAAGUCUGAACCAGCCAUGCCGCGUGCAGGAUGACGGCCCUAUGGGUUGUAAACUGCUUUUCCACGGGAAGAACCCUCCGACGUGUCGGAGACUGACGGUACCGUGGGAAUAAGCAUCGGCUAACUCCGUG